rnacentral:misc_RNA from 1 species
CUCCUCUGAUUUUUGAACUUCCAAACUAGCCUUCAAUAUUCUCCAAACCCCUCGCUCAUAAACAAGCCCAGAGGGGAAAACCCUUCCACGUGGAAUUAAUGUAUGCAAACGAGCCCUGCUUAUAAUGUCACUCCUCGCUGAAAUUCACCCCCGGUUUUUCCUUCACACAGAAAUUACCACACGUACGGAGUCAUCACGACUUAGGAACACUACAUAUGAUUUGCUGACACGGGAGGGACCGCUGAUUAUACGGGCAGUACCGUAUGCUUGUGUGUGUUUCACACGUCGGCCGGCGAGGACUCGACGGGCACAGUAGUGUGCUUGGACUGGCUGCCCGAGCGUCCCCCUUCCCGCACGCUGUUCUCCGCAAAGCGUACGCUCGCGGUGUUGAAACCCUUGUCGCACUCGUGCGCUGUCCACUCCCGGUUGUAGUAGUCCUCCGCCGUCGCCCCGGGCCGCGGCCCCAGGAACAUGCCGCCCCACUGCGGGAAGUAGAUGAGCGUGAUGGGCAACGUGCAGGCGAUGAUCAUGAACCCCAUGUACUUGAUCCCCGUCUCCGUCUUGUACUUGGAUCCGUGGAAGAAGAUGAGCUGCGUGAGCACGGCGCCCACGUUGCCGCCGCCGCCGGUCAUGCCGGAGAUGAGCCCCAGCGACCUUCGGGAGACGAACGGGACGAUGCCAAAGGUGAGCCCGCAGGCCGCCUGCACGAACAUGGAGAAGAGUAUCAUGACGGCCACGGACGCGGCGAAGGAGUAGUCGACGGCGCCGAGCACGACGCAGAGGACGCCCCCGAUGGUCUGCACCACCCACAGGCCCCACAGCCUGCCGCGCAUGCCGAAGCGGCUGGAGAGCCAGUCCGACAGGAGGCCGCCGCCGGGGCGGGAGACGAUGUUGGCCAUCCCGAAGCUGGCGGCGAUGAAGCCGGCGGUGCUGAGCUUGACGCCGAAGCGGUCGUAGAAGUACUGCGCGACGAUGUUGUCCACGGCGAGCUCCACGCCGAAGCAGUAUCCGUAGGUGAGCGCCAGGAUCCAGGCGCGGUAGUUGGUGACGGCGUGGCGGAGCACGUUGCCGAAGCUGUCCUUGUGCAUGUCGCCGGACCUGUGCAGCUUGCGGUAGUUGCCGUCGGGCAUGUCCUGGCCGAACGCCAGCACGGCGACGGCCGACAGCGUCUGCAGCAGGCCCGGGACGAAGAAGGCGACGCGCCACGCCGUGAACGGCGUGGCCCCGGCCUUGCGGAUGGCCUCGAACACGAGCGGCAUGAUGAGCUGCACGGCGCCGCCGCCGAGGUUGCCCCACCCCCCGGCGACGCCGUUGGCCAGCCCCACCUUGGGCGGCGAGAACAUGGAGCUCAUCCAGAACUGCGUGGACACGAAGGACGCGAGCGAGAAGCCCGUGAAGAAGCGCACGAGCAGGUAGGACGAGGCGGAGUCGAUGACGGCGGAGUAGUAGACGGCGGGCGUGGUGAGGAGUAUGAUGGCCGCGGACGCCAGGCGCGGGCCCACCAGGUCGCACGCCGUGCCCAUGGCCACGCGCGCGAAGACCGCGCCGGACACGGAGGCGAUCCCGGCGUUGCCGAUGUCCGUGGCCGUGAGCCCCAGCGUGUCCCGGAUGAGCGGGAGCAGCGGCGGCGCCGCGAAGGUGGAGAGGAAGCAGCAGAAGAAGGAGAACCACGACAUGUGGAAGGCGCUCAUGUGCGGCCUCGCGAAGGAGAAGAGCCAGAACUCGGUGGCCUUGUUGUCGGAGUCGACGGGCAUCCUGAACCGCGGCUUGGACGGCGCCGCCGCCGCCUCGGCAGGAGCCUCCACCUGCAUCGCCGCGGGCUUGAACUCCCCCUCCGCCAUGUCACCGCUCGCCUGCUUCUCACUGUUCUCUCACCUGCCGGAAGCCGGUCGUACGUACGUGGCUGUGCUGAUGCUUCGGCGCGUACGUGGUGUUUAUAUAGAGCGAGCUGGGAGGCGGCAGCGGGCGCGGCGCGGUCGAUGGUUGGGGACGGCGAGGGGGCAACGUGGAAACCAAUAAAGAUUUGGAGCAUGAGGUGGAGCGAUCCAGUGGGAGGCCGGCGCGGGGGCGCGCACGGCAGCGGAGCGCUCUUCACCGGUGCUGCUCUUGCCCGGGCGUCGCGGGACUUAUGUUUGCGAGCUGGUUGGUGUCGCUGUCGGGGGCGGACAAGCGG